UACGUAGGGUGCGAGCGUUGUCCGGAAUUAUUGGGCGUAAAGAGCUCGUAGGCGGUUUGUCGCGUCUGCUGUGAAAACCUAAGGCUCAACCUUGGGCUUGCAGUGGGUACGGGCAGACUAGAGUGUGGUAGGGGAGACUGGAAUUCCUGGUGUAGCGGUGAAAUGCGCAGAUAUCGGGAGGAACACCUAUGGCGAAGGCAGCUCGCUGGGACGUUACUGACGCU
rnacentral:rRNA from 1 species